GACAGAGGGUGCAACCGUUGUUCGGAAUUACUGGGCGUAAAGCGUGCGUAGGCGGCCAAGCAAGUCGGAUGUGAAAGCCCUGGGCUCAACCCAGGAAGUGCACUCGAUACUGCCUGGCUUGAGUAUCGGAGAGGUUGGUGGAAUUCUCGGUGUAGAGGUGAAAUUCGUAGAUAUCGAGAGGAACACCGGUGGCGAAGGCGGCCAACUGGACGAAUACUGACGCUGAGACACGAAAGCGUGGGGAGCAAACAGG
rnacentral:rRNA from 1 species